rnacentral:misc_RNA from 1 species
GAUGAAGAACGUAGCGAAAUGCGAUAAGUAAUGUGAAUUGCAGAAUUCAGUGAAUCAUCGAAUCUUUGAACGCACAUUGCGCCCGCCAGUAUUCUGGCGGGCAUGCCUGUCUGAGCGUCAUUUCAACCCUCAUGCCCCUAGGGCGUGGUGUUGGGGAUCGGCCAAAGCCCGCGAGGGACGGCCGGCCCCUAAAUCUAGUGGCGGUCCCGCUGCAGCCUCCUCUGCGUAGUAGUUUUCUCCUCGCAAGGGCAGCUCGGUGGCGACCUCGCCGUAAAACCCCCAACUUCUGAAAGGUUGACCUCGAAUCAGGUAGGAAUACCCGCUGAACUUAAGCAUAUAAUAAGCGGAGGA